UUCCAUUCCCCUCAUCUGUCUUCUUCUAUUUCUCUUCAUGUUUCCAGAUGAUCAUCACCAUGCCUGACGAAAUAGUGGCCAGAACCACCAAGGACAAGGUAUGAUCUCUCAAUUAAUCUGCUCCCAAUCUCUCUUAGUUCAUAAAUCUCUGACUUCAGCCAAUUAUUACCGAAAAUUACUAGAAAAGAAAUGGAUCAUUGAUUCCCCUGUUUUCUUCUACGUUUUUCCUUGAUUGCCGGUGCUGUCCAUCACUAUUGAUCGCUGGACUGGGGACUCUUGGUUGCACUACCGUGGGUCAUAUCACCAUCCACCAUUUUUCCAAUGAGCGCUUCCGUUGUGUUAGGGAAAGGGCGAUUCAAAGUGAAUCCCUGUUUUGCCUAAAUGAAGGGGAAAAAAGAGAGAGAGAAG
rnacentral:lncRNA from 1 species